GGGUUGUGAGGUUAAGCGACUAAGCGUACACGGUGGAUGCCCUGGCAGUCAGAGGCGAUGAAGGACGUGCUAAUCUGCGAAAAGCGUCGGUAAGGUGAUAUGAACCGUUAUAACCGGCGAUGUCCGAAUGGGGAAACCCAGUGUGAUUCGUCACACUAUCGUUAACUGAAUACAUAGGUUAACGAGGCGAACCGGGGGAACUGAAACAUCUAAGUACCCCGAGGAAAAGAAAUCAACCGAGAUUCCCCCAGUAGCGGCGAGCGAACGGGGAGCAGCCCAGAGUCUGAAUCAGCUUGUGUGUUAGUGGAACGGUCUGGAAAGUCCGACGGUACAGGGUGAUAGUCCCGUACACCAAAAUGCACAGGCUGUGAACUCGAAGAGUAGGGCGGGACACGUGGUAUCCUGUCUGAAUAUGGGGGGACCAUCCUCCAAGGCUAAAUACUCCUGACUGACCGAUAGUGAACCAGUACCGUGAGGGAAAGGCGAAAAGAACCCCGGCGAGGGGAGUGAAAAAGAACCUGAAACCGUGUACGUACAAGCAGUGGGAGCACCUUCGGGUGUGACUGCGUACCUUUUGUAUAAUGGGUCAGCGACUUAUAUUCUGUAGCAAGGUUAACCGUAUAGGGGAGCCGCAGGGAAACCGAGUCUUAACUGGGCGUUAAGUUGCAGGGUAUAGACCCGAAACCCGGUGAUCUAGCCAUGGGCAGGUUGAAGGUUGGGUAACACUAACUGGAGGACCGAACCGACUAAUGUUGAAAAAUUAGCGGAUGACUUGUGGCUGGGGGUGAAAGGCCAAUCAAACCGGGAGAUAGCUGGUUCUCCCCGAAAGCUAUUUAGGUAGCGCCUCGUGAACUCAUCUUCGGGGGUAGAGCACUGUUUCGGCUAGGGGGUCAUCCCGACUUACCAACCCGAUGCAAACUACGAAUACCGAAGAAUGUUAUCACGGGAGACACACGGCGGGUGCUAACGUCCGUCGUGAAGAGGGAAACAACCCAGACCGCCAGCUAAGGUCCCAAAGUCAUGGUUAAGUGGGAAACGAUGUGGGAAGGCACAGACAGCCAGGAUGUUGGCUUAGAAGCAGCCAUCAUUUAAAGAAAGCGUAAUAGCUCACUGGUCGAGUCGGCCUGCGCGGAAGAUGUAACGGGGCUAAACCAUGCACCGAAGCUGCGGCAGCGACACUAUGUGUUGUUGGGUAGGGGAGCGUUCUGUAAGCCUGCGAAGGUGUGCUGUGAGGCAUGCUGGAGGUAUCAGAAGUGCGAAUGCUGACAUAAGUAACGAUAAAGCGGGUGAAAAGCCCGCUCGCCGGAAGACCAAGGGUUCCUGUCCAACGUUAAUCGGGGCAGGGUGAGUCGACCCCUAAGGCGAGGCCGAAAGGCGUAGUCGAUGGGAAACAGGUUAAUAUUCCUGUACUUGGUGUUACUGCGAAGGGGGGACGGAGAAGGCUAUGUUAGCCGGGCGACGGUUGUCCCGGUUUAAGCAUGUAGGCUGAUUGUCCAGGCAAAUCCGGAUAAUCAAGGCUGAGGUGUGAUGACGAGGCACUACGGUGCUGAAGUAACAAAUGCCCUGCUUCCAGGAAAAGCCUCUAAGCAUCAGGUAACAUCAAAUCGUACCCCAAACCGACACAGGUGGUCAGGUAGAGAAUACCAAGGCGCUUGAGAGAACUCGGGUGAAGGAACUAGGCAAAAUGGUGCCGUAACUUCGGGAGAAGGCACGCUGGUGUGUAGGUGAAGUCCCUGCGGAUGGAGCUGAGACCAGUCGAAGAUACCAGCUGGCUGCAACUGUUUAUUAAAAACACAGCACUGUGCAAACACGAAAGUGGACGUAUACGGUGUGACGCCUGCCCGGUGCCGGAAGGUUAAUUGAUGGGGUUAUCCGUAAGGAGAAGCUCUUGAUCGAAGCCCCGGUAAACGGCGGCCGUAACUAUAACGGUCCUAAGGUAGCGAAAUUCCUUGUCGGGUAAGUUCCGACCUGCACGAAUGGCGUAAUGAUGGCCAGGCUGUCUCCACCCGAGACUCAGUGAAAUUGAACUCGCUGUGAAGAUGCAGUGUACCCGCGGCAAGACGGAAAGACCCCGUGAACCUUUACUAUAGCUUGACACUGAACAUUGAGCCUUGAUGUGUAGGAUAGGUGGGAGGCUUUGAAGCGUGGACGCCAGUCUGCGUGGAGCCAACCUUGAAAUACCACCCUUUAAUGUUUGAUGUUCUAACGUUGGCCCCUGACCGGGGUUGCGGACAGUGUCUGGUGGGUAGUUUGACUGGGGCGGUCUCCUCCCAAAGCGUAACGGAGGAGCACGAAGGUUAGCUAAUCCUGGUCGGACAUCAGGAGGUUAGUGCAAUGGCAUAAGCUAGCUUGACUGCGAGCGUGACGGCGCGAGCAGGUGCGAAAGCAGGUCAUAGUGAUCCGGUGGUUCUGAAUGGAAGGGCCAUCGCUCAACGGAUAAAAGGUACUCCGGGGAUAACAGGCUGAUACCGCCCAAGAGUUCAUAUCGACGGCGGUGUUUGGCACCUCGAUGUCGGCUCAUCACAUCCUGGGGCUGAAGUAGGUCCCAAGGGUAUGGCUGUUCGCCAUUUAAAGUGGUACGCGAGCUGGGUUUAGAACGUCGUGAGACAGUUCGGUCCCUAUCUGCCGUGGGCGCUGGAGAAUUGAGGGGGGCUGCUCCUAGUACGAGAGGACCGGAGUGGACGCAUCACUGGUGUUCGGGUUGUCAUGCCAAUGGCACUGCCCGGUAGCUAAAUGCGGAAGAGAUAAGUGCUGAAAGCAUCUAAGCACGAAACUUGCCCCGAGAUGAGUUCUCCCUGAGACUUUAAGUCUCCUGAAGGAACGUUAAAGACGAUGACGUUGAUAGGCCGGGUGUGUAAGCGCAGCGAUGCGUUGAGCUAACCGGUACUAAUGAACCGUGAGGCUUAACCUUACAACGCCGAAG
rnacentral:rRNA from 1 species